UAGGGAAUCUUCGGCAAUGGACGAAAGUCUGACCGAGCAACGCCGCGUGAGUGAAGAAGGUUUUCGGAUCGUAAGACUCUGUUGUUAGAGAAGAACAAGGGUGAGAGUAACUGUUCACCCCUUGACGGUAUCUAACCAGAAAGCCACGGCUAACUACGUGCCAG
rnacentral:rRNA from 1 species